rfam:Arabidopsis thaliana chromosome 5, complete sequence.
GGUCAUACUUUUCCACAGCUUUCUUGAACUUUCUUUUUCAUUUCCAUUGUUUUUUUCUUAAACAAAAGUAAGAAGAAAAAAAACUUUAAGAUUAAGCAUUUUGGAAGCUCAAGAAAGCUGUGGGAAAACAUGACAA